UGGCGUAUGGUGUAAUUGGUAACACGCGUGGCUUUGGACCACGAAAGUCCGGGUUCGACCCCUGGUACGCCAG
rnacentral:tRNA from 1 species